rnacentral:rRNA from 1 species
UGGGGAAUAUUGGGGCAAUGGGGCGCAAGCCUGACCCAGCAACGCCGCGUGAAGGAAGAAGGCCUUCGGGUUGUAAACUUCUGUUGUAGAGGACGAAGAAAGUGACUGUACUCUACGAGGAAGCCCCGGCUAACUAUGUGCCAGCAGCCGCGGUAAUACAUAGGGGGCGAAGCGUUGUCCGGAAUCACUGGGCGUAAAGGGAGCGUAGGCGGAUGUUUAAGUUAAGUGUGAAAGCCUGGGGCUUAACUCCAGAAAUGCACUUAAUACUGGAUAUCUAGAGUGUGGGAGAGGUAAGUGGAAUUCCUAGUGUAGCGGUAAAAUGCGUAGAGAUUAGGAGGAACACCAGAGGCGAAGGCGGCUUACUGGACCACAACUGACGCUGAGGCUCGAAAGCGUGGGGAGCAAACAGGAUUAGAUACCCUGGUAGU